rnacentral:rRNA from 1 species
CCUGGUUGUUUCUGCCAGUAGCAUACGCUGCUCUCAAAGAUUAAGGCAUGAAUGCUGAGGUAUGCGUGGGUGUGAAACUGAAUGGCUCAUUAAAUCAGGUAUGGUUCCUUUGGUCACUCGCUCCUCUCCUACCUGGAUAACUGAGGCAAUUUCAGAGCUAAUACAUGCCAGUGGAUGCUGAUCACCUUCAUGGGGGAAUGCAUGCAUUUAUCAGACCAAACCACCACACUCAGCCUCCCCAUGACCCUCCCUGGGGGGCAGGCGCCAUUGGCUUUGGUGACACUAGGUAACUCGUGCCAAUCACACACCCUCCACCAUGCUGGUGACUCAUUCAAGCACCUGCCUGAUCAGCAUUUGAUGGUAGUUGUCAUACCUACCAUGGCUGCAAUGGGUGAUGGGGAAUCAGGGUUUGAGUCUGGAGCGGGAGCCUGAUAGAUGGCCACCACAUCCAAGAAAGGUAGCAGGCGUGCAGCUGACACACCCCUGGCCCAGGAAAGUAGAAAUACAACAGGACCCUUUCAAGGCCUAUAAAUGGAACGGGCCCAGUUUAAAUCCUUCCACAAGGAUCCCUUGGAGGGCAAGCAGUAAUUCCAGCUCUAAUGCUGCAGUUGAAAAGCUUGUAGCUGGAUCUUGGGAACGGGCAGUGGUGCACCACACAGUGAGUCAUUGCCCACCCCUGCCCCUUGCCUCUCGCUGCUCCCUCAAUGUUCCUAGCUGAGUGUCUGUGGGACCAGAAGCAUUUACUUUGAAAAAAACUUGAGUGUUCAAAGCAGGUCUGAUCCCCUGGAAUGCUAGAGCUAGGAACUGUGGUCUUAUUUUGUUGGUUUUCAAAACAGGCCAUGAUUAAGAGACACGUGGGAUGGUCACAUUGUGCCACUAUAGGUGAAAUUCGUGGACUGGUGCAAGAUGUACCAGAGUGAAAGCAUUUGCCAAGUGUUUUCAUUAAUCAUGAAUGAAAGUCGGAGGUUCAAAGAGGACCAGAUAGUCAUAGUUCUGACCAUAAGUGAUGCUGAGUGGUGAUGUGGUGGCAUUAUUCCCAUGACGUGCCAGGCAGCUUCUGGAAAACAAAAGUUUCUGGGUUCUGGGGGGAGUAUGGUUGCAAAGCUGAAACUUAAAAUGAUGAAAGAGUACCACAAGGAGUGGAGCCUGUGUCUUAAUUUGACUCAACACGGGGAGAGACGGGGUGGUGUGAAGGGACUGGGGAGAAGGCUUCUUGCCUUUCCCUGCCGGUCUCCCCCUGUUCCUCCUGGACCCCCUGUCCAUGAGGCAUGUCUGGCAUGUCUCUCCUGGGAGGUGGGUGGAGGUUUUGGGGGCUGUGCCCCCUGUACUUUUGUCUCUAGCCUGGUCACCCCUGUGAGUUGUGACCAACCACAUGGUGACUUCAGUACUUCUUGCGUUGUGUGGUGCAGUGGUGGAGGUCUCGCAG